AUCACUUCUUGGCCUUUUGGCUAAGAUCAAGUGCAGUUUUAGAAGGCUGUUAAAAUUCAGGUUUGGUUUUCUAGGUUUUUUGUUUGUUUUGUUUAUUUAUUUGUUCAUUUUGCACCAGGGAUCAAACUCAGGACCUUGCAAUUGCAGGACAAAUGGGGCACUACUGAGCUAAAU
rnacentral:snRNA from 1 species